CCGGCACAGAGCUACAGAGAGCUAAACACAAAAGGAGAACUCGUCUAGAGGCAGCUGAAAAAGAGAGACAGAGACCAGAAAACGGUUGGAUAUGGCCAGGUUGGAUGUCGUAGAGACCUUUCAUGGUUUAUUUUUUCCUGGACACCUGCACACCCAGGAUUCCUUACAACUUGCUCUCAAAUUUCCCUUUCAGGACACAGACAUCAUCAUUGUCUCUUAUCCAAAGUCAGGCACCACAUGGAUGCAGGAAAUUGUGACUCUCAUAUCCAGCAGAGGGGACCCAGACGUGUCCCAAACUGUCCCAAACUGGGCUAGGGCUCCCUGGCUGGAGCAUCAUUAUUUCACCGCGGUACUGGAGGCUUCACCCACCAAACCUCGAGUCAUCACCACACACCUGCCACAUCACCUGCUGGGCCCCACCCUCCAGGGCUCCAAAGCAAAGGUCAUCUAUGUGAGCAGAAACCCCAAAGAUGUGGUGGUUUCCUUUUAUCACUUCCACAAAAUGGCCAACUUCCUACCUGAGGCAGGCUCAUUUUCUGAGUUUUUAAAUCGAUUCCUGGACGGCACACUGCACUAUGGCUCCUGGUUUGACCACAUUAAAGGCUGGACCAGUCAGACAGCAACUAUGAACAAUCUGCUUCACAUCACCUAUGAAGAGAUGUCGAUGGACAUAAAAGGUGCCAUAAAGAGGGUGAGCUCUCAUCUACAAAGUCCCUUACUGGAGGACGAGGUCAACAACUGUGUGAAACACUGCAGCUUCAGCAGCAUGAAAGACAACAAGAUGGUCAACUACACUCUGGUCACUGAGGAGAUAAUGGACCACAACAAGGGCUCCUUCAUGAGAAAAGGUGGGGCUUUUUUUUCUAUUACAUGCUGAUAAAUCAAACUUGGUUGAUUGAUUGUGUCCUAUGUCUGACAAUAUGGGAUCCAAAUAAAAAAAUAAUAAAACAGUGGUGACCAAAAUUGGAACCUGUUAUCAAACCAAAAAUGACUUUUACUACAAUGGUUCCCACCUAGAGGGUCAGACCAUCCAAAGGAGUCCCAAGAUCAAUCUGAAGGGUCACAAGAUAAUUAAAGAGAUAAAUAUUCUCAUUACAUCCGGACUGACAAAAUAAAAAAGAGAGCAAAAUGAAGUAUCUGUGGCUGUUGCAGGCCUGUAAUAAGCCCGUCCAAUCAUUCUCUGCCUGGGAACUCAUUGCUCGUCACUGGAGUCGUCCACAAGCUACUUGACAGUUGUAAGAUUGGAGACUGGAAAAACAUGUUCACAGAGGAGCUGAAUCAAUAUUUCAAAAGCGUCGUUGAGUCCAAGAUGAAGGACUGCACUCUA